GGGGAUGAUCGGUUUCGACAGCGGUUGUUGAAGCAGGGGAAGCGUGUCGAGGAAGCGGCCAUGAUCUCGUAAACCACAGGCCGAAAAAAAUAAUCGCCAACAUCAAGCGCGAUUCCUCCCAGCAGGCCUUCGCCCUCGCUGCCUGAUAAGCAGCGCGAGCGAGCCUCCUACUCAAAGGGAGUGUCAGCCCGGGAGUGUCCUCGGCCCGGAGUCUGGCAUCAGCUAGAGGACUCAACCUCCAGCCCGGUCACGGGGUGAAGAGGGAAACCACACAGUGACUGAGCCCGUCGGAGACUUGUCCGCGUGAUCUCCGGGGCCGAGAAAAGCGAAGCGGACUGCACACGGAGAAGCCCUGGUUCUGCACCGUUGGACGCGGGUUCGAUUCCCGCCAUCUCCACUC
rnacentral:tmRNA from 2 species